rnacentral:rRNA from 1 species
UACGAAGGGGGCUAGCGUUGCUCGGAAUCACUGGGCGUAAAGCGCACGUAGGCGGACUCUUAAGUCGGGGGUGAGAGCCCAGGGCUCAACCCUGGAAUUGCCUUCGAUACUGGGAGUCUUGAGUAUGGCAGAGGUUGGUGGAACUGCGAGUGUAGAGGUGAAAUUCGUAGAUAUUCGCAAGAACACCAGUGGCGAAGGCGGCCAACUGGGCCAUUACUGACGCUGAGGUGCGAAAGCGUGGGGAGCAAACAGG